UGGGGGAUCGUCUAAUGGUAGGACGCCGGGUUUUGGUCCCGUAAAUUGGGGUUCGAGUCCCUAUCCCCCAG
rnacentral:tRNA from 1 species